UGGGGAAUUGUUCGCAAUGGGCGCAAGCCUGACGACGCAACGCCGCGUGGAGGAUGAAGAUUUUCGGAUCGUAAACUCCUUUCGAUCGGGACGAAUUGGUCGCGACCCAACACGUCGUGGCCCUGACGGUACCGAGAGAAGAAGCCCCGGCUAACUCCGUGCCAGCAGCCGCGGUAAUACGGGGGGGGCAAGCGUUGUUCGGAAUUACUGGGCGUAAAGGGCGCGUAGGCGGCCUUCUAAGUCAGACGUGAAAUCCCCAGGCUCAACCUGGGAACUGCGUCUGAUACUGGAGGGCUUGAAUCCGGGAGAGGGAUGUGGAAUUCCAGGUGUAGCGGUGAAAUGCGUAGAUAUCUGGAGGAACACCGGUGGCGAAGGCGGCAUCCUGGACCGGUAUUGACGCUGAGGCGCGAAAGCCAGGGGAGCAAACGGG
rnacentral:rRNA from 1 species